rnacentral:rRNA from 1 species
UGCUACAAUGGGUAGUACAGAGGGUUGCCAAGCCGUAAGGUGGAGCUAAUCCCUUAAAGCUACUCUCAGUUCGGAUUGUAGGCUGAAACUCGCCUACAUGAAGCUGGAGUUACUAGUACUCGCAGAUCAGAAUGCUGCGGUGAAUGCGUUCCCGGGUCUUGUACACACCGCCCGUCACACCCCGGGAGUUGGAGACGCCCGAAGCCGACUAUCUAACCUUUUGGAAGAAGUCGUCGAAGGUGGAAUCAAUAACUGGGGUGAAGUCGUAACAAGGUAGCCGUAUCGGAAGGUGCGGCUGGAUCACCUCCUUUCUAAGGAGA